rnacentral:rRNA from 2 species
UAUUGGGCGUAAAGCGCGCGCAGGCGGUUUCUUAAGUCUGAUGUGAAAGCCCACGGCUCAACCGUGGAGGGUCAUUGGAAACUGGGGAACUUGAGUGCAGAAGAGAAAAGCGGAAUUCCACGUGUAGCGGUGAAAUGCGUAGAGAUGUGGAGGAACACCAGUGGCGAAGGCGGCUUUUUGGUCUGUAACUGACGCUGAGGCGCGAAAGCGUGGGGAGCAAACAGGAUUAGAUACCCUGGUAGUCCACGCCGUAAACGAUGAGUGCUAGGUGUUAGAGGCUUUCCGCCCUUUAGGGCUGCACCUAACGCAUUAAGCACUCGGCCGGGAGAGUCCGGACGCAAGACUGA